rnacentral:rRNA from 1 species
AUUGAACGCUGGUGGCAGGCCUAACACAGGCAAGUCGAGCGAGUGGCGGACGGGUGAGUAAUGUAUGGGGACUGCCCGAUAGAGGGGGAGAACUACUGGAAACGGUAGCUAAUACCGCAUACUAUCGGAUAACCCAUAUGGGAUUAGCUAGUAGGUGAGGUAAUGGCUCACCUAGGCGACGAUCCCUAGCUGGUCUGAGAGGAUGAUCAGCCACACUGAGACUGAGACACGGCCCAGACUCCGCCGGAGGCAGCAGUGGGGAAUAUUGCAACAUGGGCACAAGCCUGAUGCAGCCAUGCCGCUUGUAUGAAGAAGGCCCUAGGGUUGUAAAGUACUUUCAGUCGGGAGGCGUUACCUACAGAAGAAGCACCGGCUGACUCCGUGCCUGCAGCCGCGGUAAUAC